AAAAACUCCGGUGGUAUGGGAUGGACCCGCGUCUGAUUAGCCAGUUGGCAGGGUAACGGCCUACCAAAGCGACGAUCAGUAGCCGGCCUGAGAGGGUGGACGGCCACAUUGGGACUGAGACACGGCCCAAACUCCUACGGGAGGCAGCAGUGGGGAAUAUUGCACAAUGGGGGAAACCCUGAUGCAGCGACGCCGCGUGAGUGAAGAAGUAUUUCGGUAUGUAAAGCUCUAUCAGCAGGAACGAGACAAGACGGUACCUGACUAAGAAGCCCCGGCUAACUACGUGCCAGCAGCCGCGGUAAUACGUAGGGGGCAAGCGUUAUCCGGAAUCACUGGGUGUAAAGGGAGCGCAGACGGCUGUGCAAGCCUGAAGUGAAAGGCGGGGGCCCAACCCCCGGACUGCUUUGGGAACUGUACGGCUGGAGUGCAGGAGAGGUAAGUGGAAUUCCUAGUGUAGCGGUGAAAUGCGUAGAUAUUAGGAGGAACACCAGUGGCGAAGGCGGCUUACUGGACUGUAACUGACGUUGAGGCUCGAAAGCGUGGGGAGCAAACAGGAUUAGAUACCCUGGUAGUCCACGCCGUAAACGAUGAUUACUAGGUGUCGGGGGGCAGAGGCCCUUCG
rnacentral:rRNA from 1 species